rnacentral:lncRNA from 1 species
AUGUGAUUGGUUCCUCAAGUUGUUAAUGAGAGCAUCCCAUUCACCUGAAAUACCUACUUUUAAGUACUUUGGGCUUUGGGCUAAGGUAGUCCAAGUGGCUUCUCUUCACUGACCAAGAAGUGGAUAAGAACUAUUCCAACUCACAGAAAGAUGACCUCAAUAAGUGGCAGUGCAUCAUCAAUGGAAAUUAUUUUGGCUGAAGAAACUCGGGCACUGGUUGCCAAAAUGGGGGGAUUUGUAUAUUUCCUUAACAGAAUGGAAAGUGAGAUGAUAAAAAUGGCAAAAGCUCACUUCAAUCUAAUCCUGUGGAUGCUUAGAGUCCUUAAGAGGUGCCAAAAGAAGGUAAUUGAGCUCAGAGACGUGACUGAGAAUCUGAAAGAUCUAACAAAAGUCUUUUUUUACAAGAAGUGUGCCAUGCGUAAAGAAAUUGAGAAUUGUCAGAACCAAAUGAAAAUUAAGAUAACAUUGGUCAGGAGAAGUAAAAUCCUGGCUCAAGAAGUGGGGGAAUUGGUCAAGAAGGCUGCUAGAGAAGCAGCUUUUAGGAAUUCACAGACAGCAGCCCAGGGACCAAAGGAUGCUAAAACAAAAGAAGCCAGUGAGUUGGAGUAUAUUUCUCUGAGUCUGGCUGAAAACUGGUGGACAUUAUUGGAGAAAUGUGUGGAGUUGGCAGAGGCUAGGAUAUCGUCAGCAAAAAAGUCAUUGGAAAUGAUUGAGAAGAGAGAGAAGUGGGAAAAGCUGUUGAAGAGACUCUUCCUUCAGGCUGCCAUGGCAGCCCAACUUGGCAUGAUAUUACAGAAAAGACGAAUUGAGGGGAAAAACGUGGAGAUAGAGAAAAUGGUGUCCAUUCACCGAAAACACCAGAAAGAAAUUGUCUGCUGUAAGGCUCUGGAAGAAUGUGAAGUCAUGGACUUCCUGCUCACAGAAUUGAGGCAGAUCUCUGAAGUGAUUAUUUCGGAACUCUCUUCCCAAGAAAAAGUGGAAGACUGACCUCUUCACAACCCAUCCUGGCCAUAAACAGACUUUUAGUUGGCCAAAGAUACCUGAUAUUUGUAUGGAUGAAGACAAAGGAAGAAAAAUCAAGCGUGGCAUCUGUUAGCCUCCAAUUACUGUCUUACUGGGAAACUUAAGCAGCAGGAUUUGAUCGAAGAAUCUUCAAAUGAGACAAACCUUUGGGGUCCUCCUUCCACUAUUUUUCAUGAUCUUAAAAUACUGAAAAGCAAUUUAAGAAUUUUUUUUGGGGGGGGGUAGAAGAGAAAGGGAAGGAGGUAAUGGGUUUUUUCCUUCUAGAAAUAAAAAAAAAUUAAGCAGC